rnacentral:tRNA from 1 species
AAAUAAGAAGCAAUAAUGCAUUUAAUUUCGACUUAAAAGACAGAGUUAAUUACUCCUUAUUUA